rnacentral:lncRNA from 1 species
GUUGGUGUUAAUUAGGUCUUUGUCAAAAUUUAAUUAAAGGCUGGAUCUUACCGCUGAAACCAUCCGUACACUCCUAAGCCAACUUUCCAGGGCUUUUCCCCCCGACUGGAUUUCUGGUCGUGCUCCUUCCGUCAGCUCUGCCAUCAGCUCCAGGUAUUAUAUAUAUCACGCUGUGCCGAAUUCCAUCCAGAAAUCUCCUGCCAUUUUUCAGUCCACCUUCCGCUGCCAAUUGACAAGCCUACGUCACCUAAGAAUCUCGUAAUCUUCGACGUACUUGCAUGCAAACGUUAAUUUCUCCGAAAGGAAGGUUGGUAAACGAAGGAAGCAACUCCUAUGGAAACCAUCCAUACUUUUCUUAGUAAUUG